rnacentral:misc_RNA from 1 species
CCUCCUUAAAAAAGAGAUACGUUUAGUGCAGGCGUUCACACAUAUUACUUAUUUACCUAAAUUUUCUUUACGGAAAAUCAAAGGUUAGUUCUUUAACAUUUUUAUAAGUUCAAUCAAGUCACAUUUAAGUAUUUAUUUAAUGAUUUAUCAUUCAAUCAAUAUUGAGAAUGUGCAAAUUAACAGUUUAUAAGAGGUUUCCUUUUCCUUUAUCCGGAAAUCUUGUUAUGAACAACUGCAAAGUAAUUUGGCGUUUUGUGUUUUUUUAAAAACACAUAUAGUAGAUAGAAAUACUUGUUAAAUAUUCAUUAAGUUAAUUGAUGUAAUAUGGUCAAGUAAUGAAGUGCAAACGGUGGAUGC